rnacentral:rRNA from 1 species
CUACGGAGGGUGCGAGCGUUGUUCGGAAUUAUUGGGCGUAAAGAGCAUGUAGGCGGUCUGUUAAGUCUGGUGUGAAAGCCCGGGGCUCAACCCCGGAAGUGCAUUGGAUACUGGCAGACUUGAGUAUGGGAGAGGAAAGCGGAAUUCCGAGUGUAGGAGUGAAAUCCGUAGAUAUGCGGAGGAACACCAGUGGCGAAGGCGGCUUUCUGGACCAAUUCUGACGCUGAGAUGCGAAAGCGUGGGGAGCGAACAGGAUUAGAUACCCUAGUAGUCC